rnacentral:rRNA from 1 species
ACAAGCGUGGAUGAUGUGGAUAAUUCGAUGCAACGCGAAGAACCUUACCUACCCUUGACAUGUCCGGAACUUGCCAGAGAUGGCUUGGUGCCCGAAAGGGAAUCGGAACACAGGUGCUGCAUGGCUGUCGUCAGCUCGUGUCGUGAGAUGUUGGGUUAAGUCCCGCAACGAGCGCAACCCUUAUCAUUAGUUGCUACGCAAGGGCACUCUAAUGAGACUGCCGGUGACAAACCGGAGGAAGGUGGGGAUGACGUCAAGUCCUCAUGGCCCUUAUAGGUGGGGCUACACACGUCAUACAAUGGCUGGUACAAAGGGUUGCCAACCCGCGAGGGGGAGCCAAUCCCAUAAAGCCAGUCGUAGUCCGGAUCGCAGUCUGCAACUCGACUGCGUGAAGUCGGAAUCGCUAGUAAUCGUGGAUCAGCAUGUCACGGUGAAUACGUUCCCGGGUCUU